UUUCAGCAACGGAUCUCUUGGCUCUCGCAUCGAUGAAGAACGCAGCGAAAUGCGAUAAGUAAUGUGAAUUGCAGAAUUCAGUGAAUCAUCGAAUCUUUGAACGCACCUUGCGCUCC
rnacentral:rRNA from 2 species